GAGUGAUCGAAAGAUGAAAAGCACUUUGAAAAGAGAGUUAAACAGCACGUGAAAUUGUUGAAAGGGAAGCGCUUGCGACCAGACUCGCCCGCGGGGGUUCAGCCGGUACUCGUACCGGUGUACUCCCCCGUGGGCGGGCCAGCGUCGGUUUGGGCGGCCGGUCAAAGGCCUCCGGAAUGUAUCGCCCUUCGGGGCGUCUUAUAGCCGGGGGUGCAAUGCGGCCAGCCUGGACCGAGGAACGCGCUUCGGCUCGGACGCUGGCGUAAUGGUCGUAAGCGGCCC
rnacentral:rRNA from 1 species